UACGUAGGGGGCAAGCGUUGUCCGGAAUCAUUGGGCGUAAAGCGCGUGUAGGCGGUCCGGUAAGUCGGCUGUGAAAGUCGGGGGCUCAACCCUUGGAUGCCGGUGGAUACUGUCGGACUUGAGUACGGAAGAGGCGAGUGGAAUUCCUGGUGUAGCGGUGAAAUGCGCAGAUAUCAGGAGGAACACCAAUGGCGAAGGCAGCUCGCUGGGACGUUACUGACGCUGAGACGCGAAAGCGUGGGGAGCAAACAGG
rnacentral:rRNA from 1 species